rnacentral:rRNA from 1 species
AGAGUUUGAUCAUGGAUCAGGAUGAACGCUAGCUACAGGCUUAACACAUGCAAGUCGAGGGGAAACGAUAUUGGAAGCUUGCUUCCGAUAGGCGUCGACCGGCGCACGGGUGAGUAACGCGUAUCCAACCUGCCCACCACUUGGGGAUAACCUUGCGAAAGUAAGACUAAUACCCAAUGACGUCUCUAGAAGACAUCUGAAAGAGAUUAAAGAUUUAUCGGUGAUGGAUGGGGAUGCGUCUGAUUAGCUUGUUGGCGGGGUAACGGCCACCAAGGCUACGAUCAGUAGGGGUUCUGGAGAGGAACGGUCCCCCANAUUGGAACUGAGACACGGUCCAAACUCCUACGGGAGGCA